rnacentral:sRNA from 1 species
CUCUCCAAGGAUCCCCAAGCCUUUACAUGGUGAACCCAUCAUCACCUCCACCCUCAGGCCUGCUGGGAGGAGAGCAGGGUGGUAUCUGUGCGCAGGCCAGGAAUUAACCUCAGUUAUUUCCCUCUGAUUUAGCUUCUGAGAGAUGCCAGGAACAAGGAGAUCUUCACGUACACCAAGUGAUGCUGUGUGACCUUGCUCCUUAAUUUAAAACGACAUGAGAGGAACAGCUUUUCUCCAUCUCAAGCUCCUCCAUGCCGUGUAGCCUCACUGCAGAUCUAACCUAUCAUAGCUGAGGACUGUGAACCAACUUCCGUGUUUUCCCUUUAUAAAUUGCUUGUCUGAGUACUUCGUUGUAGUCAUGGAAAUCUAGAGCACACAGAGCUCAGUGGUAUGGUAUGUAGAAAACACCCAUCACACGGUCAGCAAUUCUCACCUGCUGUUCAGGUGAUACCACCCCACUCGUGGUAUCAGUUUCGACAUCACCAAAGACACUGAUAACUCUUUCAAGGGAAAGAUGCUACGCUAUACUGACUCGAUGAGCAGAGAAGGUGAACAUGCCGACAGUUUCUUUACUUUAUGACCUGUGCUGGCUGGUUUUGUGUGUCAACUUGACACAAGCUGGAGUUAUCGCAGAGAAAGAAGCCUCCCUUGA